GAAAUGCGAUAAGUAAUGUGAAUUGCAGAAUUCAGUGAAUCAUCGAAUCUUUGGACGCACCUUGCGCUCCUUGGUAUUCCUUGGAGCAUGCCUGUUUGAGUAUCAUGAAAUCUUCAAAGUAAAUCUUUUGUUAACUCAAUUGGCUUCUACUUUGGUAUUGGAGGUCUUUGCAGCUUCACACCUGCUCCUCUUUGUUCAUUAGCUGGAUCUCAGUGUUAUGCUUGGUUCCACUCGGCGUGAUAAGUUAUCUAUCGCUGAGGACACUGUAAAAGGUGGCCAAGGUAAAUGCAGAUGAACCGCUUCUAAUAGUCCAUUGACUUGGACAAUACUUUUAUGAUCUGAUCUCAAAUCAGGUAGGACUACCCGCUGAACUUAAGC
rnacentral:misc_RNA from 1 species